ACGCCCCGAGCCUGCCUCUUUGGUUGGAUUCGGGCACGCUAACAGACCGCCGAACGGACAGGGUUUCCCCUGUACCGCGGACAGAGUCUCCCCUGUACGUUCAAGGCAUCGCAAUCAAUACAAUGUACGAAGUUCCAACCAGGAACACAUUUCAACCAAAGAUUGCAUAAGGAAGUAUCAAAAACAUAAAUCUACUUGCUAUUACAAGCAUUCACAUUCAUACAUUUUUACAUCAUAAUUCUCAUUUUAUUCUUACAUUAGCUUUCACUUAACUUCCAAAUACAAUCCGAUUUUAACAUAGUUAUUACAACAUUGUUCUUACAAUUAUCACACUCUU
rnacentral:lncRNA from 1 species